rnacentral:rRNA from 1 species
GAAAGAGCAGAGAAAAGGAAUAGAACAACUUUGA